rnacentral:rRNA from 1 species
GACGAACGCUGGCGGUGUGCCUAAUACAUGCAAGUCGAGCGGACAGAUGGGAGCUUGCUCCCUGAUGUUAGCGGCGGACGGGUGAGUAACACGUGGGUAACCUGCCUGUAAGACUGGGAUAACUCCGGGAAACCGGGGCUAAUACCGGAUGGUUGUUUGAACCGCAUGGUUCAAACAUAAAAGGUGGCUUCGGCUACCACUUACAGAUGGACCCGCGGCGCAUUAGCUAGUUGGUGAGGUAACGGCUCACCAAGGCAACGAUGCGUAGCCGACCGGAGAGGGUGAUCGGCCACACUGGGACUGAGACACGGCCCAGACUCCUACGGGAGGCAGCAGUAGGGAAUCUUCCGCAAUGGACGAAAGUCUGACGGAGCAACGCCGCGUGAGUGAUGAAGGUUUUCGGAUCGUAAAGCUCUGUUGUUAGGGAAGAACAAGUACCGUUCGAAUAGGGCGGUACCUUGACGGUACCUAACCAGAAAGCCACGGCUAACUACGUGCCAGCAGCCGCCGUAA